rnacentral:rRNA from 1 species
AUGGGGGGCCUAUCAUGCAAGUCGAACGGGAAUCUUCGGAUUCCAGUGNNGAACGGGUUGAGGAAUACAUAGGGUAACCUGCCCCGUCCGAGGGGGACAACAGACGGAAACAUCUGCUAANACCGCAUAGCCACAGGGAAGGCAUCUUCCCUGUGCCAAAUGUCCUUUCNGGGACAGCGGGGGGAUGGACCUAUGCCGCAUUAUCUGGUUGGCGGGGCAACGGCCCACCAAGGCGACGAUGCNUACCCGGCCUGAGAGGGCGGACGGCCACACUGGGACUGAGACACGGCCCACACUCCUACGGGAGGCAGCAGUAGGGAAUUUUCGGCAAUGGGGGAAACCCUGACCGAGCAACGCCGCGUGAACGAUGAAGGCCUUCGGGUCGUAAAGUUCUGUUGCGAAGGAAGAACGCCGGUGUCNGGAAAUGGGCGCCNGGUGACGGUACUUCGCAUAGAAAGCCACGGCUAACUACGUGCCAACAACCGCGGUAAUACGUAGGUGGCGAGCGUUAUCCGGAAUCAUUGGGCGUAAAGAGGGANCAGGCNUCNAUACAGGUCUGUGGUGAAAUUCCGAAGCUAAACUUCGGCCAGCCAAAGAAACCGNAUCGCUAGAGUGCGGAANANNAUCGUGNAAUUCCAUGUGUAGCGNUGAAAUGCGUAUAUAUAUGGAGGAACACCAGUGGCGAANGCUACGGUCUGGNCCGCAACUGACGCUCAUUCCNGAAAGCNUGGGGAGCAAAUANGAUUAGAUACCCUNGUAGUCCACGCCGUANACGAUCCAUACUAAGUGUCGGGGGUCAAACCUCGGUGCUGGAGUCAACGCANUAAGUAUCGCUCCUGANUAAUACGUU